rnacentral:rRNA from 1 species
UCGAGAAUUUUUCACAAUGGGCGCAAGCCUGAUGGAGCGACGCCGCGUGGGGGAUGAAUGGCUUCGGCCCGUAAACCCCUGUCAUUUGCGAUCAACCGUUAUUAUUUAAAAGAUGAUAACCUGAUAGUAGCGAAAGAGGAAGGGACGGCUAACUCUGUGCCAGCAGCCGCGGUAAUACAGAGGUCCCAAGCGUUGUUCGGAUUCACUGUGCGUAAAGGGUGCGUAGGUGGCGGGGUAAGUCGGAUGGGAAAUGUCGGAG